UUCAAUAACAACAAAUGAAACCGAAACCUCACAUACAUAUGAAAACUGAAUAACUCUCUACUCAAUGAUAAUUGGGUCAGGGGUGGAUAAAGAAAGAAAUAAAAGAUUUCCUAGAAUUUAAUGAAAAUGUUGACACACCAUACCCAAACUUAUAGGACAGAAUGAAAGCAGUGCUAAGAGGAAAAUUCAUAGCAAGAAGUGCACUGGUCAAGAAACAGGAGAGAUCUUAUACUAACAACCUAACAGCAUACCUGAGAGCUCUAGAAAAAGAAGCAAACUCACCCAAGAGGAGUAAACAGCAGGAAAUAGUCAAACUCAGGCCUGAAAUCAACCAAAGAGAAACAAAGAGAACAGUACAAAGAAUCAGCAAAAUAAAAAGCUGGUUCUUUGAGAGAAUCAACAAGAUAAAUAAACCUCUAGCCAACUGACUAAAGGGCCCAGAGGCAGUAUCCAAAUUAACAAAAACAGAAA
rnacentral:lncRNA from 1 species